AAGUCUUCCAAAUAUUGGUAAAGAAUUGGAGAACUUUAGCAAGCCCGCAGGUUAUAAGAUAAACCAUUCAAAAUCUGAGAUAAUAAAUAUAUCAAUCCCUGAGAAUAUUGUUGAUACUACUCAAAAAUCUUUUCUCUUUAGAUUGGGAAUUUCCAAGAUAUUUUUAUUUUGAACCCAACAGAUAAAAUAGAAAGACUGUAUGACUUUAACUAUAUAAAUUUAAUUUUACUUUUUUUUGUCACUUUACCACACUCCUAGUAUGUAAGCUCAUUGAGCAGGACCUCAACCCUUCUGUUCCUGUGUGUCCAACUUGUCUGGCUAAAACUACACGUUUUGUCUACCCACUGUAAAGCGCUGCAGAAUUUUGGCACUAUAUGAAUAAAAG